GUCAGAGACUCUGGGGAGUGCUGAUCGUAAGAGUCGCCAUGGCUGAGCUGCUUAACUCGAACCUUCAUCUGGAUCUGGUCCAUGCCAAGAACAGGAACCCUCUUAAAACCAGUCAGGAACCCUGAGGAACACCCGUGAAGACAAAGUUGAAACCUAAUAAGUAUUUCCCACACAUAAGCCCAACAACAAGCUUCCUCCUCAGAAAACAGAAUUAUGGGUGAAAAAAGAAAAAGAGAACUGAAGGGAAAAGCAAGGUGAGCAGACUGAAGUAGUUUGUGAGUAAACACUAAAACAAAUUGUAGAAGUAAGUAGAAUUAUCAUCGUGGUUCUAUGGGAAACAUCUCAUGGUCCCGGUCCUCUUGAGUGGUGGGGAUGAGUACAGACUGUUAAUCUGCGGCUGGCAACCGUAACUGUGACUGCAAUCUUUGUGUGUUUUAGCUGCCCCAUUAACCUUUCGCUCAUUCAUUAACAUUAGGUACAAUACUUACAGAUGAAAUUCUUCCUCUGCUCUUCAGUGAGUUCAUCAAAAACCUCCCAAAACAUCUUUAUGGUGGGGUGGCCAGCAUGAUAUACCCAUUCAUAAACUGUGUUCUAAUUUAAGUAAAAAAAAAAGAGAAACGAUACAAUUAAAAUGUUAGAUUAAUCAAUCAAGUGAGGAUGUGUUUAAUCAGUUUCAGAGAAAACUGUGUACCUGUUUAAGCUUUGCCCAGUUAUAGUCGGCUGUGCCCACCAGCACUCCCUGCAGCUCCUCUGGCUGAAACAGCUUCACCACAUCCUGGUCACACACCUGGAAGAAGCCUCGCUUGAACUCCUGAAACACACCCUCCACUGAUGUGUUGAAGACAUGAUUCACGUAGGCAUCCACAAACUCCUUCCUGUUUAUCAAAUUACAGUUUCAAUUCAACAGACAUUUCUCUGAGAGAGAGCUGACCUGGUCGCAGCUCACAUGUACAAUUUAGGAUUAAAUAUUUUUACAGUCUUACUUAUUUUGACUCGUCACUGGCUUUUCCGGGUUUUGAGGAUCAAGGUCGACCUCUGCCCCAUCCCAGUUAAUC